GAUAAACGCUGGCGGCGUGCCUAAUACAUGCAAGUCGAACGGAGGUAUGUAGCAAUACGUGCCUUAGUGGCGAAUGGGUGAGUAACGCGUUGGUGACCUGUCCCGAAGAGGGGGAUAACGGUUCGAAAGGACUGCUAAUACCCCAUGUGGUUAUGAGAAUUAGAGAUCUCAUAUCUAAAGGAGUAAUCCACUUCGGGAGGGGCCUGCGUCCCAUCAGCUAGUUGGCAGGGUAAUGGCCUACCAAGGCGACGACGGGUAGGGGGCCUGAGAGGGUGGCCCCCCACACUGGCACUGAAACACGGGCCAGACUCCUACGGGAGGCUG
rnacentral:rRNA from 1 species